GGCUCCUUGGCAAUGGGCAAAGAGACAUCUUGUUGGUGGUGAUGUUCCUAUAUCAGUCAGGAACAGAGCAGAUGGCAGUCCUUUGUGCAUCCUAACUUAAUGUCUGGUUUGGUGGCUAAACUUGCUUUAUGUCUAGGACUCAUAA
rfam:Mus musculus chromosome 2, GRC primary reference assembly.